ACUGCUGCGGUGUUCGCUCCCAGGCUCACCCCCCUCUCUGUCAAAGCCCAAAAAACCCAAGUGAACAGGUGAAGCAAACAAAUAUGCUACAUAUGUUACA